ensembl:snoRNA
UUGUGGACAUUUUGCUAACUGCUUUUAGCUUGUUUGCAGCUCCGGAGGCUAAGCACUAACACUAGAGCACAUGGACUUGCUUGUAACAGGCUCUUCAGCUCUUAACUGAAUUGCUGUUUUGAAAACAAUCUACAGUU